ACGGAUAUCUCGGCUCUCGCAUCGAUGAAGAACGUAGCAAAAUGCGAUACCUGGUGUGAAUUGCAGAAUCCCGCGAACCAUCGAGUUUUUGAACGCAAGUUGCGCCCGAGGCCUUCUGGCCGAGGGCACGCCUGCCUGGGCGUCACGCCAAAAGACACUCCCACCCAACCAGGUGAGGACGUGGCGUUUGGCUCCCCGUUCCGCGAGGUGCGGUGGGCCGAAGUUUGGGCUGCCGGCGUACCGUGCCGGACACAGCACAUGGUGGGCAACCAAAAUUGUCACGGUGUUGUGCCUCGGCUCGCAGCCGGCGAUACGGCCCUAAGGACCCUUUCGACCGUAGCGCAUGUCGCUCGGACCGCGACCCCAGGUCAGGCGGGACUACCCGCCGAAUUUAAGCAUAUAAAUAAGCGGAGGAGAAGAAACUUACAAGGAUUCCCCUAGUAACGGCGAGCGAAC
rnacentral:rRNA from 1 species